ACACACACCCCUUUAUUAUGAUGGCUGGUUCGUGUUGCUAUAGUAACCCCUGGCCUCUUAGGACACCGAUGGUUACACAUGACAAUGACGAAAAUAUCAGGUUACAAGGGCAGACAGCAGGGUAAAACAUCCUGUGCCUCGGACACCCAAUGCCCCGGAACAGAGCGUCCCUCCUCCGGCUUUGGAAGGAGAGCGCGGGGCUGAGGGGAGGGAAGGGAGGAGGAGAACAUCCCAGAACAUCGCAGGACUACCAGUGAUGGGCUUCUCUCUACUGAACAAGUCUGGUCCUCAUUCAGCAAAGGAUCCUUCCCACCUUUCAUCCAAGGAUUCCUAACCUUUCUACAGUGAUUGAACCUACUACUUAGCUUAUAAUCUGUUUGCAUAGUCUCAAGAACCCAGGGUCACUUCCAUUUCAAGAUGACAUGCUCUACAUCCUAUAUUCUAGAAGAAUUGAAGUAGCAAUGGGAUUCCAAAUGUCCUUCACCAUCCCCUGCUGUGGAUGCAAACCUCAGCCUGUCCUCCAGGCUCUAUCUCUCAAAGUCGGGAUCAUUCCUCUAUCACAGAUGUGGAAGUUCUGCAUUGCUCCUAGACGAAGCACUUCUUCCAUGCAGGAACCCCAUGCAGGACGGUCCUGUUCCAGCAUCUCUCAUGCCUCACAACGGACACCAAAGUUCUUUCCGGAGACCUUGAGUGUGUUCUCGUACAACUUCUUCUGCCCUCCAUGUGAGCGCUUGCCUUGUGGCCCUUCUCCAGAGAAGUCUUAAAGCAAAUGUGUUGGGCAUUCCAACAAUGUAGCCAGCCCACUGGAGUCGUGCUUUCUGCAGCAGAGUCCGAAUGCCGGGCAGUUCAGCUGAGAGAGGACUGCAGUGUGUGCGACCUUAUCUUACCAGGCGAUCCUCAGAAUCUUCCUGAGACAGUUCAAAGAGGAGCAGCUCAAGUUCCUGGCAUCACACUAGUAUGCUGUCCACGUUCCCAUAGGCACACGUUGUUAAGAUCAGCACUAUAGCUCUCUCCACGUUCAAUCUGAGAGGCAGCCCAAUACCUCUUUGCUCUCACCCUUUCCUGUGGAGCUUCCCAAACACUGAACUCCCUCCGUCAAUGUGUGCAUCAACUAUCAUCUGUGUGGACGUCCCUGGAAAGUAUACGGUCAAGACGAGGAAAUUCAUUCAGUGUUCAGAAAUGUAUCGGUUUGCUACAACCAAUGGAUCCACACAGUGGUGGUUGGUGGAGCAUCUGGUUUCUCCGUGUUAAUGAUCAGACCAAAAUUGUCCCAAGCAACGGAGAAUGGGUCUCGGUCUUAGAGGCCAUAUUGAGUGCUAUCAUCUGGGAACAGAAACGUGUGCACCAACUGUCCCUCCCCUUUAGUCUUGGUGUGUUGUUUUUCCAAGUUAAAUAAUUUACCAUCAGUGUGGUCAUAGAUUUUGAUGUUCUUUUCAUCCUCAUUGAAGUCAUCUGACAAUAUUGUGGGAAGCAUCACUCUAAAAAGCACGGGAGCAAGCACACAGCCCCAUUUCAUCAGAGGUGGCUGGCACUACCAGAUGUGUUUGAGUAGUUUUGAUAAUGAUAAGCUAGCAUGUAGG
ensembl:lncRNA